UUUUUUAAUCAUAGCGUGAGGAAAAGAAACCAACUGGGAUUACCUUAGUAACGGCGAGUGAAGCGGUAAAAGCUCAAAUUUGAAAUCUGGUACUUUCAGUGCCCGAGUUGUAAUUUGUAGAAUUUGUCUUUGAUUAGGUCCUUGUCUAUGUUCCUUGGAACAGGACGUCAUAGAGGGUGAGAAUCCCGUUUGGCGAGGAUACCUUUUCUCUGUAAGACUUUUUCGAAGAGUCGAGUUGUUUGGGAAUGCAGCUCAAAGUGGGUGGUAAAUUCCAUCUAAAGCUAAAUAUUGGCGAGAGACCGAUAGCGAACAAGUACAGUGAUGGAAAGAUGAAAAGAACUUUGAAAAGAGAGUGAAAAAGUACGUGAAAUUGUUGAAAGGGAAGGGCAUUUGAUCAGACAUGGUGUUUUUUGCAUGCACUCGCCUCUCGUGGGCUUGGGCCUCUCAAAAAUUUCACUGGGCCAACAUCAAUUCUGGCAGUAGGAUAAAUCAUUAAGAAUGUAGCUACCUCGGUAGUGUUAUAGCUUAUUGGAAUACUGCUAGCUGGGAUUGAGGACUGCGCUUCGGCAAGUGAUGUUGGCAUAAUGGUUAAAUGCCGCCGAUCUGAAAGCUAACAACAAA
rnacentral:rRNA from 1 species